AUUGAACGCUGGCGGCAGGCCUAACACAUGCAAGUCGAGCGGAUGAAGGGAGCUUGCUCCUGGAUUCAGCGGCGGACGGGUGAGUAAUGCCUAGGAAUCUGCCUGGUAGUGGGGGGUAACGUCCGGAAACGGGCGCUAAUACCGCAUACGUCCUGAGGGAGAAAGAGGGGGAUCUUCGGACCUCACGCUCUCAGAUGAGCCUAGGUCGGAUUAGCUAGUUGGUGGGGUAAAGGCCUACCAAGGCGACGAUCCGUAACUGGUCUGAGAGGAUGAUCAGUCACACGGGAACUGAGACACGGUCCAUACUCCUACGGGAGGGAGCAGUGGGGAAUAGUGGACAAUGGUCGAAAGCCUGGUCCAGCGAGGCCGCGUGUGUGAAGAAGGUCUUCGGAUUGUAAAGCACUUUAAGGUGGGAGGAACGGCAUUAAGUUAAUACCUUGCUGGUUUGACGUUACCAACAGAAUAAGCACCGGCUAACUUCGUG
rnacentral:rRNA from 1 species